rnacentral:rRNA from 1 species
GACGAACGCUGGCGGUGUGCUUAACACAUGCAAGUCGAACGGAAAGGCCCUGCUUUUGUGGGGUGUUCGAAUGGCGAACGGGGGAGUAACAUGUGAGUAACCUGUCCUCGACUGUGGGAUAACUUUAGGAAACUUGGGCUAAUACCGGAUAGGAGCUCCUGCUGCACGGGGGGGGUUGGACAGUUUUUGCUGCUGGGGAUGGACCCGCGGCUUAUCAGUUUGCUGGUGAGGUAGUGGCCUACCAAGGUUUUGCCGAGUAGCCGGCCUGAGAGGAUGACCGGCAUCGUUCUGACUGAGCGACGGCCCGGCCUCCUACGGGAGGCAUCAGACAGGAAUAUUGCCCAACUGGCCGGCGUCUGAUGCAGCAUCGCCACGUGACUAUUGACAGUCUUCGGGUUGUAAACCGCUUUCGCCUGUCAAGAAGCGUGAUUGACGGUAUUAGCUCAAGAAGCGCCGGCUCACUACGUG